GCUCUCGUCGUUCAACGGAUAGGACGCGACUUUGCGGAAGUCGUGAUAGAGGUUCGAUUCCUCUCGAGAGCACAA
rnacentral:tRNA from 1 species